AGUGAACGCUGGCGGUAGGCCUAACACAUGCAAGUCGAACGGCAGCACAGUAAGAGCUUGCUCUUACGGGUGGCGAGUGGCGGACGGGUGAGGAAUACAUCGGAAUCUACUUUUUCGUGGGGGAUAACGUAGGGAAACUUACGCUAAUACCGCAUACGACCUACGGGUGAAAGCAGGGGAUCUUCGGACCUUGCGCGAUUGAAUGAGCCGAUGUCGGAUUAGCUAGUUGGCGGGGUAAAGGCCCACCAAGGCGACGAUCCGUAGCUGGUCUGAGAGGAUGAUCAGCCAAACUGGAAACGAGACACGGUCCAGACUCCUAAGGGAGGCAGCAGUGGGGAAUAUUGGACAAUGGGCGCAAGCCUGAUCCAGCCAUACCGCGUGGGUGAAGAAGGCCUUCGGGUUGUAAAGCCCUUUUGUUGGGAAAGAAAAGCAGCAGGUUAAUACCCCGCUGUUCUGACGGUACCCAAAGAAUAAGCACCGGCUAACUUCGUG
rnacentral:rRNA from 1 species